UACGUAGGGGGCGAGCGUUGUCCGGAUUUAUUGGGCGUAAAGAGCGUGUAGGCGGCCAGGUAGGUCUGCUGUGAAAACUCGAGGCUCAACCUCGAGACGUCGGCGGAAACCAUCUGGCUAGAGUCCGGAAGAGGAGAGUGGAAUUCCUGGUGUAGCGGUGAAAUGCGCAGAUAUCAGGAGGAACACCGAUAGCGAAGGCAGCUCGCUGGGACGGUACUGACGCUGAGGCGCGAAAGCGUGGGGAGCGAACAGG
rnacentral:rRNA from 1 species